rnacentral:rRNA from 1 species
UACGAAGGGGCUAGCGUUGUUCGGAAUCACUGGGCGUAAAGCGCACGUAGGCGGAUCUUUAAGUCAGGGGUGAAAUCCCGAGGCUCAACCUCGGAACUGCCUUUGAUACUGGGGAUCUCGAGUCCGGGAGAGGUGAGUGGAACUGCGAGUGUAGAGGUGAAAUUCGUAGAUAUUCGCAAGAACACCAGUGGCGAAGGCGGACUCACUGGCCCGAUACUGACGCUGAGGC